rnacentral:lncRNA from 1 species
AAUGAGGCCGAAGGAUAUGUUCCUGAAUAUGCAGAGACCAUCAAGCGUCUACAGGCAGCUGCAAGACAAGAAGUGCUUCCAAUGCCAGGGGUGGGCAAAGAGGAUUUGGACGACCCUCAAAAUUUACUCGUGGAAGGCGUCAUUGAUCGUGCUGAAGCUAUUGAAGCUGCCGAGAAAAAGCGCAAGGUACAAUUUAGAUGAGGGAUGAAGAAGAAGAUAAUCCUCAAAAUUUACUUGUGGAAGGCGUCAUUGACCGUGCUGAAGCUAUUGAAGCUGCCGAGAAAAAGCGCAAGGUACAAUUUUUGAUGAGGGAUGAAGAAGAAGAUAAGUGGUUUGAUUUGCCAUUUAAAAUAAAAAAGAUUAUCCCUGGUAUUGUAAUGAAAAACUCUGGAGCUGCAUUUGCUUGAAAUACGAACUAUUUUCAUGUUGCCUCACCUAGAAGAGCGGUGGCAUUUUACAUUUGCUUAGUGGUGUUUUAAUUCUAGAUACCUAUACCUAAUAGCUUUCAGCUGAAUUUUCAUUUCUCUUUAGUGCUACACAUUUUCUCCAGCC